rnacentral:tRNA from 1 species
ACUGAUUUAGCAUAUUUUUAAUGUGGUGGGUUGUAAACCCUUUGAAAUCUGGAAAGUUGAUCAGGA